AUACAAGCCCUAGACACUGCCAUCUUAUUCCACGGGUACUAUUUAUGACUCGGUCAUCUUGUUUUAUUUCAUAGUGUGCUAAUCGUUCAUGUUUUGUACUCAUAACACGUCGUCAGAGCAGAAACGGGUCUUGAUGACAACCUUUGGCAUCUGUUUAUGCAAAGAUCAAGUGUAGAAGAAGCUGAGAGUGCUUUUCUGUUGUGUAGCAAAAUAAAUAAACGAUGGUCAAAUGAA